rnacentral:rRNA from 1 species
AUUAACGCUGGCGGCAUGCCUAAUGCAUGCAAGUAGAACGAGUCUCGCAAGAGACUAGUUGCGAACGGCUGAGUAAUGAAUAGGAAUCUCCCCAAUGGUGUGGAAUACCUCAUCGAAAGAUGAGCUAAUACCGCAUGACCUUGAAAGAGAAAAGCGCCUAACCGCGCACCGAUGGAUGAGCCUAUUUCCCAUCAGGCUGUUGGUAGGGUAAUGGCCUACCAAACCUAUGACGGGUAGGGGGCGUGAGAGCGCGUUCCCCCAGAAUGGGACUGAGACACGGCCCAUACACCUACGGGUGGCAGCAACAGGGAAUCGUACACAAUGGACGAAAGUCUGAUGUCGCAAUGCCGCGUGGAGGAUGAAGGCCUUCGGGUCGUAAACUCCUUUUACAGUAAUAGAGAUGUUAUUGAGAAUAAGCACCUGCUAACUCUGU